UUCCCUUUGGAAACUGGCACAAAUCCUCUGCACCAGCAGACAUUAUAGAAUGUUGGCUGCACAAAAUAUCACCAAAACAACUUGUUGCCAGCCCCACCCCUCUACCUUCCUAACUGCAGAACUAGAAGGUUCAGCCCAUUUUUUGCCCUCUUCAUUUCUUCUCUUUCUGAAGCAAACAGGAUUCCUUCCAGCCUUCUGGACAAGCCCAGACAAGCCCGAAUUCAUCCAUAAUAGCCUUCUGCCAGCUCGAUGAAGAUAAUGGUUACCCCAGGGAAUAUCAGAUAAGUUAGAAGGAGCUUGGGUGUCUGGAUCAUGAAAUUGUGUCAAGUCACCUGCCAUGCAGGAAGUGUGGGAGAA